AGGAUAACAGUUUAAAAUUAAACAUUUGACUUGCAUUCAAAAAAUAUUGAUUAAUCAAUUUAUCUUA
rnacentral:tRNA from 1 species